UAGGGAAUAUUAGAAAUGGACGAAAGUCUGAUCUAGCGACACCGCGUGUGCGAAGAAGGCCUUCGGGUUGUAAAGCACUUUUUGGAAGGAAUAGGAAGGAAGGUACUUCCAGAAUAAGUCUCGGCUAACUACGUGCCAGCAGCCGCGGUAACACGUAGGAGGCGAACGUUAUCCGGAUUUACUGGGCGUAAAGCGCGUGUAGGUGGUUCUGUAAGUAGGGCGUGAAAGCUCCUGGCUCAACUGGGAGAGGCCGUUCUAAACUGCAGAGCUAGAGGAUGGUAGAGGGAGGUGGAAUUCCAGGUGUAGCGGUGGAAUACGCAGAUAUCUGGAGGAACACCGGUGGCGAAGGCGGCCUCCUGGACCAUUCAUGACACUCAGACGCGAAAGCUAGGGUAGCAAACGG
rnacentral:rRNA from 1 species